ACGGAGCCACAACGCGUUAAUAAUGCUCCUCAAACGGUGCGCAUUGGAACAGCCUGUAGUGUUAAUUCAAAAGUGUGUGUGAUAAAAAUGUGUGUACAGCAUUCAUAGUAAUAGUAAAAGUGCUCCAAAGUCGUUUCAAUGGUGAUAAAAACGUAA